rnacentral:rRNA from 1 species
AUGAUGCAUCGCGUCGCCGACCUCGACCUGGACCUCGGCCUGGGGCUCGGGAUCGCCUCCCAGGGCAGCCUCACGUCCUCCACCACCACCGACUCCUCCUCCCCGGCCUCCGCCUCCCACUCGCAGCACUGGACCGCCGCGCUCAGCUCCGUCGUCGGCGCGCAUGAGUCGUACGGGCUGCACCAGUAUGCCAACCAGCAGCGGAAGGACGAGCCGGGGAUGAGGCCGUCCACGUCGCCCGAGAGCGGCGUCAGCGGCGGGACCAAGAGGGGCCUGGAGCGCACCGGCUCCGGUGUCUCCCGCGGCGGCGCCACCGUGGGCGGCGACGAGGACGAUGACGGCACCGGCGGGCGCAAGAAGCUCAGGCUCUCCAAGGACCAGGCCGCUGUCCUGGAGGAGUGCUUCAAGACACACAGCACGCUCAACCCCAAGCAAAAGACGGCGUUGGCGAACCGGCUGGGGCUGCGGCCGCGGCAGGUGGAGGUGUGGUUUCAGAACCGCCGUGCUCGGACCAAGCUGAAGCAGACGGAGGUGGACUGCGAGUACAUGAAGCGCUGGUGCGACCAGCUCGCCGAGCAGAACCGCCGCCUCGAGAAGGAGGUUGCUGAACUCCGGGCGCUCAAGGUUGCACCGCCGGCAAACAACGGUGCCCCGGCGGGGCCCCUCACCACCCUCACCAUGUGCCUCUCCUGCAAGCGCGUCGCGUCGACGUCCUCCGCCUCGGCCUGCAACGUGCCCAGCUUUUCCUCCAAUGCCGGCAUCGGCAUGCCCAUGCCAUCCCCCGAACAACGGCAGUUCUUCUGUGCGUUCAGAGACACCGGAGCGAUGUACGGCGGUUCUUCGGGGCUCGCGAAGGUGGUCAAGCCGACCAGAUAA